AGUAGUUUGAUCAUGGCUCAGAAUGACGCUGGCGGCGUGGUUAACACAUGCAAGUCGAGCGCCCGUAGCAAUACGGGAGCGGCGCACGGGUGAGUAACGCGUGGGAACCUGCCCAGAGGUCUGGGACAACCGCGGGAAACUGCGGCUGAUACCGGAUGAUUCCUGAGGGACAAAGAUUUAUCGCCUUUGGAGGGGCCCGCGUCGGAUUAGGUAGUUGGUGGGGUAACGGCUCACCAAGCCUAUGAUCCGUAACUGGUCUGAGAGGAUGACCAGUCGCACUGGGACUGAGACACGGCCCAGACUCCUACGGGAGGCAGCAGGUGGGGGAGUAUUGGACAAUGGGGGCAACCCUGAUCCAGCAAUGCCGCGUGGGUGAUGAAGGCCUUCGGGUUGUAAAGCCCUUUCGGCGGGGACGAUGAUGACGGUACCCGCAGAAGAAGCCCCGGCUAACUUCGUG
rnacentral:rRNA from 1 species